GUCACAAAUUACACAGGCACGUCUAGAAGCAGCUCGAUUUACUACUAGUGGUCAAGCGCAUCUUGUUGUUGUUUUGGCACUGUGUUGUUGUUGACAGCUCAAGAAAUGUCUCAUUUCGCAUUCAACGACAAUUCGGUUUUCCGUUUUUUUUUUUGC
ensembl:ncRNA F26A10.17 ncRNA